AAACUAACAAGGAUUCCCCUAGUAACGGCGAGUGAACCGGGAAGAGCUCAAAUUUGAAAUCUGGCGUCCUCAGGGCGUCCGAGUUGUAAUCUAUAGAGGCGUUUUCCGUGCCGGACCGUGUCCAAGUCCCUUGGAACAGGGUAUCAAAGAGGGUGACAAUCCCGUACUUGACACGACUACCGGUGCUCUGUGAUACGUCUUCUACGAGUCGAGUUGUUUGGGAAUGCAGCUCAAAAUGGGUGGUGAGUUCCAUCUAAAGCUAAAUAUUGGCGAGAGACCGAUAGCGAACAAGUACCGUGAGGGAAAGAUGAAAAGCACUUUGGAAAGAGAGUUAAACAGUACGUGAAAUUGUUGAAAGGGAAACGAUUGAAGUCAGUCGUGACCGAGAGGCUCAGCCGGCUCUGCCGGUGUAUUCCCCUCGGUCGGGUCAACAUCAGUUUUGUCCGGUGGAUAAGGGCGGCAGGAAUGUGGCACCCUCGGGUGUGUUAUAGCCUGCUGUCGCAUACACCGGGUGAGACUGAGGAACGCAGCUCGCCUUUAUGGCCGGGGCCCGCCCACGUACGAGCUUAGGAUGUUGACGUAAUGGCUUUAAACGAC
rnacentral:rRNA from 5 species